rnacentral:rRNA from 1 species
ACGCUAUCACUCCUACGGGAGGCAGCAGUGGGAAUAUUGCACAAUGGGGGAAACCCUGAUGCAGCCAUGCCGCGUGUGUGAAGAGGCUUCGGGUGUAAGCACUUUCAGUAGGGAGGAAGGUAGUGUAGUUAACACCUGCAUUAUUUGACGUUACCUACAGAAGAAGCACCGGCUAACUCCGUGCCAGCAGCCGCGGUAAUACGGAGGGUGCGAGCGUUAAUCGGAAUUACUGGGCGUAAAGCGCAUGCAGGCGGCCUGUUAAGUCAGAUGUGAAAGCCCGGGGCUUAACCUCGGAAUUGCAUUUGAAACUGGCAGGCUAGAGUCUUGUAGAGGGGGGUAGAAUUUUAGGUGUAGCGGUGAAAUGCGUAGAGAUCUGAAGGAAUACCAGUGGCGAAGGCGGCCCCUGGACAAAGACUGACGCUCAGAUGCGAAAGCGUGGGGAGCAAACAGGAUUAGAUACCCUGGUGG